rnacentral:rRNA from 1 species
UACGUAGGGCGCAAGCGUUGUCCGGAAUUAUUGGGCGUAAAGAGCUCGUAGGCGGUUUGUCGCGUCUGCUGUGAAAUCCCGAGGCUCAACCUCGGGCUUGCAGUGGGUACGGGCAGACUAGAGUGCGGUAGGGGAGACUGGAAUUCCUGGUGUAGCGGUGGAAUGCGUAGAUAUCAAGAGGAACACCUGAGGUGAAGACGGGUUGCUGGGCCGACACUGACGCUGAGUGCGCGAAAGCCAGGGGAGCAAACGGG